UACGUAGGGCGCAAGCGUUGUCCGGAAUUAUUGGGCGUAAAGAGCUCGUAGGCGGCUUGUCACGUCGGGUGUGAAAGCCCGGGGCUUAACCCCGGGUCUGCAUUCGAUACGGGCAGGCUAGAGUGUGGUAGGGGAGAUCGGAAUUCCUGGUGUAGCGGUGAAAUGCGCAGAUAUCAGGAGGAACACCGGUGGCGAAGGCGGAUCUCUGGGCCAUUACUGACGCUGAGGCGCGAAGGCUAGGGGAGCAAACAGG
rnacentral:rRNA from 1 species